rnacentral:lncRNA from 1 species
GGAGGAUAAAUUGAUUUGGCACCUUAAUAAAUUUGGAUCUUACUCGGUAAAGACUGCCUAUAAGCUAGCAUGCCAACUCAAACUAGCAGAUCACUCAUCCCAAAAUGGGGAUCCGGGUCCUUUGUCGCAACAGCAGCUAGCUAAGUUAUGGAAUUCCUUUUGGAAGUUGAAUUUCUCGAGUUAGAUAAAAAAUUUUCUUUAGAAGCUUUGCAUUGAGAAACUCCCAAGCAAGAGUAAUCUCCAAAGAUGUCUAUGUUGGACUCCCACAGAGUGUGGUUUUUGCGGUACAAUAGAAACAUUGCAUCAUUUAUUUUUUGCUUGUCCACAUGCAGUUGCUGUAUGGCUAAAUUCACCACUCAGGCUUCGCUCCUCCUUUCUAUCGAGCCACAAUAUGAUAGACUGUUGGCCGUCCUUACGCUCAUCCUUACUACCUCAUCCCAAUGAAAACAACCUUGUCCAAUUAGCUAGCUUCUUAUCGUGGCAUAUAUGGAAGAAUCGUAAUGCCCAAAUCUUUAAUAAUGAUGCGGAGUUACACACUGAGAUGGGGCCGAGUCUCUGAAAAAAAAUACAGACUCAAAAUUCAUCAGGCCACAUUCAAGUAGACCGAUUCAACAUCGCACAAUUCAGUUCGAAGACGUGAAGUAGGUCGGGCUGAUUACGUGUACAGGUCCACUAAGAAAUAACCUAAUCCGGUGACGUGACAAAAAAUAAAAGAGAGUAAGUCCAAUCACUUCGCAGUCCUGUCAAUAGAUGUGUCGUGUCGGAAGGAAUUAAAAUUUUUUUUUAUAGAAAAUAAUUUUUAAAAAAAAAAUUAAUUUCUGAAUUUCAAGAAUUUUUAACAAUACCAUUAUAUUUAAAUUUAUUGAUAUCUUUUAUUUUUUUAACAUCACGAUUAAAUGGUGAAUAAUAAGUUAUAUUUUUGUAAAUAUUUUCUAAAUACAAAAUAUUUUUCAAAUAAAUAAAACCUAUAUAAAAUGAAAUCCCAAAAUCUCCACCAAUUCAAACCGGAGCAAGACAAGGUGCAUUAGUAAGAUUCCUAGUCUAUUGACUGUCAUUGAACCUUUUCUUACAUUCUUUGAUUGACUGUAAAAUUUCCAGUAUUUUUGGAGAGAUGUGAAUUUCAUAGACCAGAAUCCUUUAUAUUUUACCAAUGGACUUGAAUUAAUAAUAUUGAAAUUUGACCUCCUUCUUUCUUAGAAAAAAAAAAACCCUUAAUUAGUUAAUUAAUUUUAAUUUUAUCAAAAAAUUAAAUAUUUAAAUAAUACAUAUAAUUAAAAUUAUAAAUUAGAAAUUUUAUUAGUUUAAUUUUUAUUAAAUAUUUUAUUAUCUAAAAUUUUAUUAAAUUUAUGGUCAUAUAAUUAUAUUAUAAAUUAAGAAUACAAUACCAAUAAUUUAAAUAAUAUAGUGAUUAUAAAUACUGAAACAAUAACAAUAUAAAAAAAUUAUUAAAUUAUAUAAAAUUAAAUGUAAUAUUAAGUAAUUUUAUAUUAAUUACUAAAAUUAUUCUCACAAAUUUUUAAUAAUAUAAAUACUUGAUAAGUUAUUAUGUAUAAAAGUUAACAAUAAAUAUAUAAAUUAAUUAAAUUAUAAAUUAAAUGACAAAUAUAAAUAACGUGUAAAAAAAUAAUAAAAUAUAAAAACAUUGAAAUUGAAUAACUUUAAAAUAAAAAUAAAUUAAUAAAUUUAUUAAAAAUUUAGACACUUAAUAGCAAUUGACGGGAUAACUAAUCUCAAGCUAGCCUGUGUUCAAUGUGAACAUGAAUCAGAACCAAGGCAGACAAAAGUCCGCCUACCUUGUCCAUACCCAGUUUCCACAUUUUCUUUCUCCCCUCAGAAUAUCUGUUAAAACAGCUCUGCCUACAGAAACGAAACAGCCAAAAAGCCAAUGCCAUUCACCACAAAAACGCCAUUUCCAUUUGCUUCCACAAAAUUGAAGCAAUGGGAAUGCGAUUCUCAGCAAUUAAAAUAAGCUUCACAAAGACAUUCAAAGUUGCAAUUACUUACUGGCUAAAGAGAAGCCAAUCCAAUCUUCUUGAUGAAGCAGCCCCACCCAGUUCUUCACUGGAGACAACUGCAAGAAAAUCACACGCUUGAGAAGUUAUAAAGUCCUUAACAAAAUGGAAAUGGCAGCUGCCCAAAACGCAGAAACCAGAAAGAAAAACGAAAAAGGACAACAUAUUAUCAGUUUUCAGCCGCCAUCCAGUCAAACCCACAAGUUUUGACCAGAAAAGUUUUGGUUUUUUU